AAGCCUCUACUUAGCAGCUUGCCCAAGUGCUCAGGCGAUAAGAUUUGUCCUGCCCUGUUUUGAGAAGGGAUUUGGUGGUUGCAAAACAUGUCACAUUAUUGACUGAAAGUUGUUACCAUCUGGUGGCUGCGUGGAUGGUCUGGUACUAAUGAGGACAUAAUCUGAGAGAAACAGACCCAGAUCGCUCCUGUUGCACAGUGUGUAACUGUGACUGUCUGCUGGACGUGGGUGGAGAGCCAUCAAGGCAAAUGAUCAGGCAAGCUGAGCAUCUGCUGUGACUGAGUUUGGAAAAGCCACACACUGUGUAGUUCUGUUGACUUCCCUUCAUUUUGUGUUUACUCUCCCUGGGGUUUUGGAUGAGCAACCAAGAGGAGAAUUUGGUACUGAUAGGAAUGUGCAUUUUCUGGACUGGGUGUUGAAGCUCACUGCGUGCUAGAAGGUCCCUUGUCAGCGCUGACUUCAUGGUUUUUGCAGGCUUCUGCUCCAUUGCUGCAAAACUGUUCACUGUCAGAGGAGCAAAAUCUACAGGCCCAGGUCCCUCCAGAGCAGCCCCUGCUGACUGUGUAUGCUGUUCCUGGGAGCUCAACAAACAUCCACCACAGAGAUCGCAUUGCUUCUGUUUUCAGCUCCUAUUAAUUUGUAAAUGGAUUUUUGAUGAUUAAGAUGAAGUCUGAGCUGCUGCUGGUGGGAAUUCUCCUAUGCCAAGAAUGAGGAUGAAGGCAGCCCCACAGUGGAAGAGGAACAGAAGGACAGCUCAAAGUCUUCCAGGUCGUUGUGCUUUAUCAAAGCUCUGACCCCUCCCCCGGCAUGAAAUAGGGAUGAAAUAGCAACACGUGAUCUUGAAAACUAAGAUGUCAGACCACUUGGGGAUAAACAAAUGUGAGAUGUAUCUGAUGUCCAGAGCAGAUGGUAGAAGCCAUGGGCAGGAGUGUGUCUGCCACCAUCCUUCCACUGAAGCCCUGGAUGCCCGGUGACAGUAGAGCACCAGGAGAAUGGUCCUCGGUUAUCAGCCAGGUGUAAAAUCAACAGAUCAAAUGCUGACCUGAGCUGUGGUUGUGAGUCCAGCCUGUGUUGUGUUUGAAGAAUACCACUGCAUCAUUUACACUUGCAAACCCUUUGUAAUCUUAAUCUCUUUGUUGCUUUUAUGUUAUGCUGGCCCCCCAAGGUUAAAGAAAGAGAUUUAGACCUUAAACACAAAUCCAGCCUUCAAGCUCUGGAAUUAUCUUUGCCUUUAAAUGCAACUGAUCAAUGCCCAUUUCUUUUGAAAAUAAAACCCUUUUGAACCU
rnacentral:lncRNA from 7 species